UAUAUAUAUAUAUAUAUAUAUAUAUAUAUAUAUAUAUAUAUAUAUAUAUAUACUCCAGACUGGUUCUGUGUGUAUGUGUGUGUAUAUAUAUGUGUGUAUAUAUAUAUACUCCAGACUGGUUCUGUGUGUGUGUGUAUAUAUAUAUAUAUAUAUAUAUAUAUAUAUAUAUAUAUAUAUAUAUAUACACACACACAUAUACACACAUAUAUAUAUAUACACACAUAUACACACAGUAUAUACUCACAGUAUAUAUAUUUAUAUUCCAGGUCUCCAACAUUGCUCAUCCUAAUAUUUCUAUAUUUCUUAAUUCCUUUACUUUUUACUGUCACGUCCUGACCAGUAAUAGGGGUUAUUUGUUAUUGUAGUUUGGUCAGGACGUGGCAGAGGGGUGUUUGUUUUAGGUGGUUCGGGCUAUGUAUUUAGGUAGAGGGGUGUUUGGUUUAUGUGGUUCGGGCUAUGUAUUUAGGUAGAGGGGUGUUUGGUUUAUGUGGUUCGGGCUAUGUAUUUAGGUAGAGGGGUGUUUGGUUUAUGUGGUUCGGGCUAUGUAUUUAGGUAGAGGGGUGUUUGGUUUAUGUGGUUCGGGCUAUGUAUUUAGGUAGAGGGGUGUUUGUUUUAUGUGGUUCGGGCUAUGUAUUUAGGUAGAGGGGUGUUUGGUUUAUGUGGUUCGGGCUAUGUAUUUAGGUAGAGGGGUGUUUGUUUUAUGUGGUUCGGGCUAUGUAUUUAGGUAGAGGGGUGUUUGGUUUAUGUCUAUUGUAGUUCUAUGUUUAGUUAAUUGGGGUUGGACCUUCAAUUGGAGUCAGCUGGUUAUCGUUGCCUCUGAUUGAAGGUCCUAUAAUUAGGAGUUUGUUUUGUCAUGGGGUUUUGUGGCAGAUUGUUGCUGUGUAUAGCUUUGUGCCUUACUGGCCUGUUCUUUGUCCUUUAAUAAAAGAAGAUGAGUGUACAUUUUCCCGCUGCGUCUUGGUCUAAACCCUACGACACCUGUGACAUUUACAUUAGGGUGUAUUGUUAGAUACUACUGCACUGUUGGAACCAGGAACACAAGCAUUUCACUACACCCACAAUAACAUCUGCUAAAUAUGUGUAUGUGACCAAUAACAUUUUUAUUUGAUUGUAUUUUUGAAAGUGUUACAUAAUUCUCAAUCCGCUUUGCGUCGUGCCUAAAAACAGCACUUAGCCGUGGUACUGUAUAUUAGCCAUAUACUGUCACCACUUCCACCGAAGUCAUUUCCUCUCCUUGUUCGGCGGUCGGCGUCACCGGUCUUCUAGUCAUCGUGGAUCCACUUUUUUUCAUUUUCCAUUUGUUUUGUCUUGUUUUCUUACACAUCUGGUUUCCAUUUCCAUCAUGAAUUGUUGUGUAUUUAACCCUCUGUUCCCCCCAUGUCCUUGUGUGGAAUUGUUUGUUUGUAAGUGCUUGUACUCUGUUACUGGUGCGCAUCGGGUUUUGUACCCAUGUAGGUUCGUUUUGUAUUAAACUGCUCCGGCUAUUACCUAUC
rnacentral:lncRNA from 1 species